GACGAACGCUGGCGGCGUGCUUAACACAUGCAAGUCGAACGGAAAGGCCCUGCUUGCAGGGUGCUCGAGUGGCGAACGGGUGAGUAACACGUGGGUGAUCUGCCCCUUACUUUGGGAUAAGCCUGGGAAACUGGGUCUAAUACUGGAUAGGACCAUGCUGUAGGUGGUGUGGUGGAAAGAUUAGUUUCGGAAAGGGAUGAGCUCGCGGCCUAUCAGCUUGUUGGUGGGGUAAUGGCCUACCAAGGCGUCGACGGGUAGCCGGCCUGAGAGGGUGGACGGGCACAUGGGGACUGAGGUACGGCCCAGACUCCUACGGGAGGCAGCAGUGGAGAAGAUGGCACAAUGGGCGAAAGCCUGAUGCAGCGACGCCGCGUGGGGGAUGACGGCCUGCGGGUUGUAAACUCCUUUCAGCCAUGACGAAGCCCUUGUGGUGACGGUAGUGUUAGAAGAAGCACCGGCUAACUACGUG
rnacentral:rRNA from 1 species